rnacentral:ncRNA from 1 species
UUCCUUGCGAUGAUGGGAACGCUCUUAACGAAGGUCUUUCAGAGAGCAGCUGGCUGGUGAAAAGCUGCAGACACCGCGUUACAGACAAUCCUCCCGGAGCUAACCACUGAAAGUGUUCCAAGUAGGCUGGUUCGGUUUACACCCGUUAACGUGUUGCCUGUUAAUUUUUCAUAUUUGAAAAACGACGGGAUCGAGAGGCUGUUUUUUUGACAGCAAUAAGAGUGGUACCGCAGAAGUUUCGCUUCUGUCUCUUAA